AGGGGCAGCGGGGUAGUGCUUGCACUACUGCCGGCGACCGGCGCACGGGUGAGUAACACGUAUGGAACCUGCCCGCAGCAGGGGGAUAAGCGGAAGAAAUUCCGUCUAAUACCGCGUAACAACGUUGGGAGGCAUCUCCCGAUGUUUAAAGAUUUAUCGGCUGCGGAUGGCCAUGCGGCGCAUUAGCUAGUCGGCGGGGUAACGGCCCACCGAGGCGACGAUGCGUAGGGGUUCUGAGAGGAAGGUCCCCCACACUGGUACUGAGACACGGACCAGACUCCUACGGGAGGCAGCAGUGAGGAAUAUUGGUCAAUGGCCGAGAGGCUGAACCAGCCAAGUCGCGUGAGGGAAGACGGCCCUACGGGUUGUAAACCUCUUUUGUCGGGGAGCAAAGCGAACCACGUGUGGUUCAUUGAGAGUACCCGAAGAAAAAGCAUCGGCUAACUCCAUACCAACAACCACAAUAAUACAAAAAAUACAAACAUUAUCCAAAUUUAUUAAAUUUAAAAAAUACACANACAAAAAUACAAAUCAACAAUCAAAUUNCANAACUCAACCCCAUACUACCAUUAAAACUACAUCCCUUAAAUACACAAAAAAUAUACAAAAUACAUANUAUANCNAUAAAAUACAUANAUAUCACAAAAAACUCCGAUUGCGAAGGCAGCAUACCGGCGCGCAACUGACGCUCAUGCACGAAAGCGUGGGUAUCGAACAGGAUUAGAUACCUUGGUAGUCCACGCAGUAAACGAUGAACACUAACUGUUCGGCCAGAAUGAUGGCUGAGUGGUACAGCGAAAGCGUUAAGUGUUCCACCUGGGGAGUACGCCGGCAACGGUGAAACUCAAAGGAAUCGACGGGGGCCCGCACAAGCGGAGGAACAUGUGGUUUAAUUCGAUGAUACGCGAGGAACCUUACCCGGGCUCAAACGACACAGGAAUACUUUUGAAAGGAGGUAGCCCUACGGGGUCUGUGUCGAGGUGCUGCAUGGUUGUCGUCAGCUCGUGCCGUGAGGUGUCGGCUUAAGUGCCAUAACGAGCGCAACCCCUAUCGCCAGUUACCAUCAAGUAAAGUUGGGGACUCUGGCGAGACUGCCGGCGCAAGCUGAGAGGAAGGCGGGGAUGACGUCAAAUCAGCACGGCCCUUACGUCCGGGGCGACACACGUGUUACAAUGGCAGGUACAGAGAGAAGCCAGGUGGCGACACCGCGCGGAACUCGAAAGCCUGUCUCAGUUCGGAUCGGAGUCUGCAACCCGACUCCGUGAAGCUGGAUUCGCUAGUAAUCGC
rnacentral:rRNA from 1 species